rnacentral:rRNA from 1 species
GACGUAGGGCGCGAGCGUUGUCCGGAUUUAUUGGGCGUAAAGAGCUCGUAGGCGGCUUGUCGCGUCGUCCGUGAAAACCUGCGGCUCAACUGCAGGCUGGCGGUCGAUACGGGCAGGCUGGAGUUCGGUAGGGGAGACUGGAAUUCCUGGUGUAGCGGUGAAAUGCGCAGAUAUCAGGAGGAACACCGGUGGCGAAGGCAGCACUCUGGGACGGUACUGACGCUGAGACGCGAAAGCGUGGGGAGCGAACAGG